UGGGGAAUAUUGCACAAUGGGCGAAAGCCUGAUGCAGCGACGCCGCGUGAGGGAUGACGGCCUUCGGGUUGUAAACCUCUUUCAGCUCCGACGAAGCGAAAGUGACGGUAGGAGCAGAAGAAGCACCGGCCAACUACGUGCCAGCAGCCGCGGUAAUACGUAGGGUGCAAGCGUUGUCCGGAAUUAUUGGGCGUAAAGAGCUCGUAGGCGGCUUGUCGCGUCGACUGUGAAAACCUGGGGCUUAACUCCGGGCCUGCAGCCGAUACGGGCAAGCUAGAGUUCGGUAGGGGAGACUGGAAUUCCUGGUGUAGCGGUGAAAUGCGCAGAUAUCAGGAGGAACACCGGUGGCGAAGGCGGGUCUCUGGGCCGAAACUGACGCUGAGGAGCGAAAGCGUGGGGAGCAAACA
rnacentral:rRNA from 1 species